rnacentral:rRNA from 1 species
CGGACGGGUGAGUAACGCGUGGGUAACCUGCCUCAUACAGGGGGAUAACGGUUAGAAAUGGCUGCUAAUACCGCAUAAGCGCACAGUACCGCAUGGUACGGUGUGAAAAACUCCGGUGGUAUGAGAUGGACCCGCGUCUGAUUAGCUGGUUGGUGAGGUAACGGCCCACCAAGGCGACGAUCAGUAGCCGACCUGAGAGGGUGACCGGCCACAUUGGGACUGAGACACGGCCCAG